GGUGUGGCGUUACUGGAGGAAGUGUGUCACUGGGGGUGGGCUUUGAGGUUUCAGAAGCUCAUGCCAGGCCCAGUGUCUCACUCUCUCUUCCUGCUGCCUGCGGAUCC
rnacentral:miRNA from 1 species